rnacentral:rRNA from 1 species
AGCCAUGCGAGUCAUUGUAGUAAUACAAGGCAGACGGCUCAGUAACGCGUAGUCAACCUAACCUAUGGACGGGAAUAACCUCGGGAAACUGAGUAUAAUGCCCGAUAGAACAUUAUGCCUGGAAUGGUUUAUGUUCCAAAUGAUUUAUCGCCGUAGGAUGGGACUGCGGCCUAUCAGUUUGUUGGUGAGGUAAUGGCCCACCAAGACUAUUACAGGUACGGGCUCUGAGAGGAGUAGCCCGGAGAUGGGUACUGAGACACGGACCCAGGCCCUAUGGGGCGCAGCAGGCGAGAAAACUUUGCAAUGUGCGAAAGCACGACAAGGUUAAUCCGAGUGGUUUCUGCUAAAGGAACCUUUUGACAGUCCUAGAAACACUGUUGAAUAAGGGGUGGGCAAGUUCUGGUGUCAGCCGCCGCGGUAAAACCAGCACCUCAAGUGGUCAGGAUGAUUAUUGGGCCUAAAGCAUCCGUAGCCGGCUCUGUAAGUUUUCGGUUAAAUCUGUACGCUCAACGUACAGGCUGCCGGGAAUACUGCAGAGCUAGGGAGUGGGAGAGGUAGACGGUACUCGGUAGGAAGGGGUAAAAUCCUUUGAUCCUAUUGAUGACCACCUGUGGCGAAGGCGGUCUACCAGAACACGUCCCGACGGUGAGGGAUGAAAGCUGGGGGAGCAAACCGGAUUAGAUACCCCGGGUAGUCCCCAGCUGUAAACCAUGCAAACUCAGUGAUGCAUUGGCUUGUGGCCCAAUGCAGUGCUGCAGGGGAGCCCGUUAAGUUUGCCGCCCUGGGAAGUACGUACGCAAGUAUGAAACUUAAAGGAAUUGGCGGGG